rnacentral:rRNA from 1 species
CGUCAUAUCCCUUUGUAAACUCUACCUUUGUUGCUUUGGCAGGACGCUCUCUGAGCUCGCGGCUUCGGCUGCGACGUGCCUGCCAGAGGACCCAACUCUUGAUUUUAGUGAUGUCUGAGUACUAUAUAAUAGUUAAAACUUUCAACAACGGAUCUCUUGGUUCUGGCAUCGAUGAAGAACGCAGCGAAAUGCGAUAAGUAAUGUGAAUUGCAGAAUUCAGUGAAUCAUCGAAUCUUUGAACGCACAUUGCGCCCGGUGGUAUUCCGCCGGGCAUGCCUGUUCGAGCGUCAUAAGUCCAAAUCACGCCUGGCGUGGUCUUGGGGCAUGCCUCUGGGCAGUCCUUAAACGUAGUGGCAGCGCCGUCUGGCUCUAAGCGUAGUAAUUUCUCUCGCUAUAGGGUCCUGCGGAUGCUUGCCAGCAACCCCCAAUACAAUCGGUUGACCUCGGAUCAGGUAGGGAUACCCGCUGAACUUAA